rnacentral:rRNA from 1 species
GAUGAGCGCUGGCGGCGUGCCUAAUACAUGCAAGUCGAGCGAACAGACGAGGAGCUUGCUCCUCUGACGUUAGCGGCGGACGGGUGAGUAACACGUGGAUAACCUACCUAUAAGACUGGGAUAACUUCGGGAAACCGGAGCUAAUACCGGAUAAUAUAUUGAACCGCAUGGUUCAAUAGUGAAAGACGGUUUUGCUGUCACUUAUAGAUGGAUCCGCGCCGCAUUAGCUAGUUGGUAAGGUAACGGCUUACCAAGGCAACGAUGCGUAGCCGACCUGAGAGGGUGAUCGGCCACACUGGAACUGAGACAGGGUCCAGACUCCGACGGGAGGCAGCAGUAGGGAAUCUUCCGCAAUGGGCGAAAGCCUGACGGAGCAACGCCGCGGGAGUGAUGAAGGUCUUCUGAUCGUAAAACUCUGUUAUUAGGGAAGAACAAAUGUGUAAGUAACUAUGCACGUCUUGACGGUACCUAAUCAGAAAGCCACGGCUAACUACGUG